GGUUACCAGUCAAACCACCCUAAAUACAAAUAGAUCCCAUUUGAUCUUGGAAGCUAAGCAAAGUCAGCCCUGGUUAUUACUUGGAUGUGAGACUGCCAUUUAAUGCCAGGUGCUGUAGCCU
rnacentral:rRNA from 1 species